GGACUUGCGAUAGCUCAGUCAGUAGAAAGUUGGAUUCAUAAUCCAAGGGUUAUGGGUUCAAUGCCCACCCAACCAAGCCCA